rnacentral:rRNA from 1 species
GACGAACGCUGGCGGCGUGCUUAACACAUGCAAGUCGAGCGGUAAGGCCCUUUCGGGGGUUCACGAGCGGCGAACGGGUGAGUAACACGUGGGUGACCUGCCCUCAGCUCUGGGAUAAGCCUGGGAAACCGGGUCUAAUACCGGAUAUGACUCCAUGACGCAUGUUGUGGGGUGGAAAGCCUUGUGCGGCUGAGGAUGGGCCCGCGGCCUAUCAGCUUGUUGGUGGGGNGAUGGCCUACCAAGGCGACGACGGGUAGCCGGCCUGAGAGGGCGACCGGCCACACUGGGACUGAGACACGGCCCAGACUCCUACGGGAGGCAGCAGUGGGAAUCUUGCGCAAUGGGCGAAAGCCUGACGCAGCGACGCCGCGUGAGGGAUGACGGCCUGG